rnacentral:rRNA from 8 species
AACGUGGACCCGUAAUCCGGGUUGCGGACAGUGUCUGGUGGGUAGUUUGACUGGGGCGGUCUCCUCCUAAAGAGUAACGGAGGAGCACGAAGGUUGGCUAAUCCUGGUCGGACAUCAGGAGGUUAGUGCAAUGGCAUAAGCCAGCUUGACUGCGAGCGUGACGGCGCGAGCAGGUGCGAAAGCAGGUCAUAGUGAUCCGGUGGUUCUGAAUGGAAGGGCCAUCGCUCAACGGAUAAAAGGUACUCCGGGGAUAACAGGCUGAUACCGCCCAAGAGUUCAUAUCGACGGCGGUGUUUGGCACCUCGAUGUCGGCUCAUCACAUCCUGGGGCUGAAGUAGGUCCCAAGGGUAUGGCUGUUCGCCAUUUAAAGUGGUACGCGAGCUGGGUUUAGAACGUCGUGAGACAGUUCGGUCCCUAUCUGCCGUGGGCGCUGGAGAACUGAGGGGGGCUGCUCCUAGUACGAGAGGACCGGAGUGGACGCAUCACUGGUGUUCGGGUUGUCAUGCCAAUGGCACUGCCCGGUAGCUAAAUGCGGAAGAGAUAAGUGCUGAAAGCAUCUAAGCACGAAACUUGCCCCGA